GUUUUCCUACUCUUUUCACUCAUCUCUUUCACUUUCUUUCUGACCUCUCCAUCCUUUUCCAACACAUUCCUUAUUCCUCUCUCAAUCUUGUCAGCAGUUACAAGAUAGUUAGGCUCACCAUUGAACUCCACUCUAUAAUCUAACACAAUCUCCACAGCCAUCUUCAGCUCAUGCACCAACUGAAAAGCAUUAGUCUGUUGUUCAGCAAAGAGCGGCCACGUGGCAAUGGGCACACCAAAAUACAUGCUCUCGAGUAUUGAAUUCCAGCCACAAUGGGAAACGAAUCCUCCCGUGGCUGGGUGGGCCAAUAUUUGAGUCUGCGGAGCCCAUCCAAUGACCCUUCCAAUCCCUGCUGUCCGAUCUAAGAACCCUUCGGGUAAAACCAAGCCCAAUUCAGUAAGAGAGUAAUCAGAGGGUGCAACCAUGGCGACACCCUUCGGUUUGGGUUUACGAAGAGACCAUAUGAAAUGGACGCCACUAUCCUCAAUGGCAUGUGCGAUCU
rnacentral:lncRNA from 1 species